CCUACGAUGUGCAGCAGUGAGUAAUAUUGGUCAAUGGGCGCGAGCCUGAACCAGCCAAGUAGCGUGAAGGAUGACUGCCCUACGGGUUGUACACUUCUUUUAUAAAGGAUUAAAGUGAGGCACGUGUGCCUUUUUGUAUGUACUUUAUGAAUAAGGAUCGGCUAACUCCGUGCCAGCAGCAGCGGUAAUACGGAGGAUCCGAGCGUUAUCCGGAUUUAUUGGUUUUAAAGGGAGCGGAGAUGGGUUGUUAAGUCAGUUGUGAAAGUUUGCGGCUCAACCGUAAAAUUGCAAUUGAUACUGGCAGUCUUGAGUACAGUUGAGGUAGGCGGAAUUCGUGGUGUAGCGGUGAAAUGCUUAGAUAUCACGAAGAACUCCGAUUGCGAAGGCAGCUUACUAAACGGCCACUGACAUUGAUGCUCGAAAGUGUGGGUAUCAAACAGGAUUAGAUACCCGGGUAGUC
rnacentral:rRNA from 1 species